AGAAACUUAAGAUAAAUAAUCCCGGAGCCUUCAAAGCUCCAAAUAGAAGUUAAACUCUUCUAGUUUCUG
rnacentral:tRNA from 1 species